UAGAUUUAGCAUAUGCAUUCAUAAAGGACAACUACCGAGCGGUCCAUUAAAUAGGGAUUUCAUAAUCUGAAACAUCAGUUACUGCAUCAGUCAGUACAUACCAGGAAAAAACAUAAGAACAAUACACUUCCUACCAAAACAUAUGUAUCCUCUAAAAUCAGAAUUGACAUAGACAAACAAAGGAAUUGUUGACGAACAACACUUGGACGAAGCAAAUCAUUCUAAGCCUACAAUUGAUAAGAUGGCUGAGAACACAUAUGCCUGCCACGCAACUCUGUACCGGCCAGCCGCUGAGUGAUGUAUGUAAAUAGGGAUCUCACAAUCUGCAACGAUAGUUAGGAAAGAUUUCAUAAAGAAGAGCAAGGAUAUUACUAAUGGCAGGGGGCAAGCAUUAUUGGCUUCUUGGCAGUCGCUUAAUAUGUCAAUCUUUUGAUCGUCAUCUUCAACCUCCUUACAUUAGGGACAUUUUCUCCUUUAAAUCACUUGAAUGGUCUUCAAAUAGCAUUGCCCACGAAGAUAUGCAUCACUACCGCAAGCCACGCCGAUGAAUACACCACAAGGAGCAGCACCACAUCCUCGUCCGUCUCUGCGGUGUCGCGGUUGCGCCUAUCCUGCGAAGCGCCGAGGAGUGACGGCGACCUAGGUUAGGAUCGGCAGCGGCAAGAGCACCAUGACAGUAAGAGAAAUAGGGAAGGACAGGUGCACGAAAGAGGCGGGUCAAAGCAGCGAGGACGUACCUUGAGGACGGAGCUACCCGACCUCCUCCUCCUUGAUGACGAGGAAGCACCAAGGGCAGCUUGAUGCUUGCCAGUGGCCUCCCUGAUGAAUUGGAGCCGAGCACUACGGGGGCAAAGGUGCAGCGCCUCAUGCUUCUCCCGCUGAGCACCGACGAGAGGGAGGCCAGCUUGGGAGCGAAAGAUCCAGAAGUUGAAUACAUAUAAGCAAUCAACCAAGAAAUGCGAUGCUAUAUGUGAAUAAUAUACAAACAAGGAGAUGCUAUAUAAAUGACAUGUGCGGUGCUGGGUCAGAUUGUUGUGCCUAAGCAUGUGUGCCAGCCAGGCAAACUUAGCAUGUUUACUGGCCGAUGAUAAAGCAGAAGUAUUUAUCCUGAUUAAAAACAAUAGUAGUUGAGCUGCAUCCAUUCAAGCCUUGCAUAGUUUAGAUCCAUUACAACGUGUUUGUAGCGUUUUCCAUGUACCUGAUGGCUGCCACAGCUGCAGAAUCUUCAGCCACUUCCUCAAUGGCAGAGCGAACACCGGUAAUUGUCAUCUGCAGUGAAUUGAUUCCAUUAAUCUGCGCAGAGGUGUAGAAGAGC
rnacentral:lncRNA from 1 species